rnacentral:rRNA from 1 species
GUGCCAGCAGCCGCGGUAAGACAUCGGACUCGAAGCGUUACUGGUCUUGAUUGGGCGUUAAGUGUAGCUAGGCGGCUGACGUAGUUAUGGUAUAUAAGGGUUGGUUCGAGCUUAAAUUCCAUAAUACCGUUAUGCUUGAGAUAUAUUUUAGUUCUUUUGGUACGCGCACCUUAGCGAUAAAAUGCGGAUAGGGUGCUAUGGACAUUCCAGUGGCCACGGCGAGGAUCGAAUAUAUCUGACGCUGAACUACUAAAGUGUGGGGGCCAAAAAGGAUUAGGGACCCUUGUAGCCCACACCCUGAAUUCAUGAACAUUGAUCGGUAUUAAUAGUACUGAUUCAGCGAACGCGUAAAUGUUCCGCCUGGGUAAUAAUACCGCAAGGUAAGAAAGCUAAUUAGAUUGGCGGGAGCUUGUAUAAACAUGGGGCACGUGGCUUAAUUCGACAAUACACGUAAAAUCGUUACCCGUACUACCACGGGUAUAUGCGGAUGCGGUGUCUGGGAGCAACCCUAACUAAGAUAGAAAUUACAACAGAACAAGAACUGGAACUUGCUGUAAGUAUAAGUGAUCUCUGGGUGCUGCAUGGCUGUCGCAAAUUCAUGCUGUGGGGUUUGGUUUUUGGUAACUGAAUGAAUGCGACCUAUGGGUUACUUAGUAUAGUUUAAACUUACCCCGGUACGGGGUACUACUCUAUAGUUGGGUAAUCUCCGGAACCACCCAUAGAUACAAUUAGCUGUGGGGGUUCCUAGGUCUAGGACACGUCAAGUCAACAUGGUCUUUAUAUACGGGGCUGCACAUGUGCCACAAGGGCAAAGACAAAAUGAUGCUACGGUGUGAUCCGAAGCAAUCCUAUAAAAAUUGUCACAGUUCAGAUUGUACGCUGCAAAUCGUGUACAUUAAGUUGUAAUUGUUAGUAAUCGUUCUUGGGCAGAUUGCCGCGGUGAAUGUUAUUCGAGCUUUGCACACACCGCCCAUCACGCUAGGGGAGAGGCCGGGGCUGGGAGGCUAUCUUACGAGUUUGUGGACUCGGAGUUCGCACAAGGUUACGGCGUCAAUCAGAGCUAAGUUGACACAAGGUACCGGUAUGGGAAA